CAGUGGAAGAAAAUCCCCAGUGCUGUGCUCACACAGCAGCACAAGGCUCCCUGACAGCACUGACUGAAGACCCCCGAGGCUGCCGGCUCCUUUGCGAGGCAUCUGACCAACGGUCCAGGCUCUGUGAGUAAUCCAUUUCAGUUUCAAAGAACUGUGCAAUGUGAUCAUUGGAAAACAGACCUUCAUACACAUGGCCAUUCUUGAAGGUCAUUCUGCCCUGUGGGGAGGGAGGCACGUGAGGCUCUGAAGACGUUUCAGGAGGGAGAUUCUUUCUUCAGAAGGGUUUUCAAGGGUUUGGAGCAUUUUCUGCUUUGAAGAUAGGCCACAAAG
rnacentral:lncRNA from 1 species